rnacentral:lncRNA from 1 species
GAGGACGUGGGUUCAAUCCCUAACAGUACUCAUUGCGUUAAGGAUCUGGCAUUGCUGUGGCUGUGGUGUAGGCCAGUAGCAGCAGCUCUGAUUCUCUGAUUCAACCCUUAGCCUGGGCACUUCCAUACGCUGCAGGUUCAGCCCUGAAAAAAAAAAAAAAAAGAAUUGGACUGCAGCAGCUUGGUCCCUCUGGAUGUGCAGGUUUGAUCCCUGGCCUGGCACAAGGAAUUAAAGGAUCCAGCAUUGCUGCAACUGUGGCGUAGGUCCCAGCUGUAGCUUUGACUCAGUCCCUGUUCUAGGAACUUCCAUAUGCUGCAGGUGCAACCAUUAAAAAUAAAAUAAAAUAAAAUAAAAUAGAGAAGGGGACUACAAGGUUUCCAGACUUUGGGAAUAGGUAACAACUAUACUGUCCAACUCAAACAUCACUGCAGUUCUUUUUCAGGAGAAAAAUUGGAAUGAAAGCUAUGAUCUUAGUUACAAUGUCACUUGAAACUAUAAAACUUUCCUGUUUUGGUAAACUUAGACCUACUCAAAACUGGAGAGUGAUUAUUUCUGAAGACAGAGUGAGAAGGGAGCAUUUCAUUUUUAAAUGAGUAUUAAUUUUUUUUCUUACUAGAAAGAAAACAUAUACACUGAGGACAAUACAGACAACUAUUGAAAGGAAAGCAAAAAUACCUAGCAAUCCCAUCUCCCCAGGUUAGUUAUGCAGAUAACGCUGUGGAAUAUUCUCUUAAAUUCUUUCUCCUAAUUUUAUGACGUGUUUGGAAGAUAAAAGAAUUUAAACCACUUGACAUGUUGCAACAUUUUAAAAAAUCCAAUAUUCUAAUAUUCUAAAGCUCUCUUCUACUUUUCUAUUUCACAUGAAUAAAUUACCUGCCCUCCUUUGGAUUUGAUGAGCAAUAAUCAGAAGCUGCUUUCUCUUUCCAGUGCACUUCUAUCAGUAUUUUCCAACCACCUUUCUUCCCUUUUUCUCUCCCAUUUGAGCCUGUGAUGAUCACAUUACUCUGCAUCUUUCAGGCUUCUGUCUUACCUUCCAUGUUACCUCAGCAGAGUUUAAACUCUCUCUUAGCAGAAAUUUUUUUUUCAUAAAGCAAUGAAGAAUAAGAUAAAUGAUAUUUGAACUUAAGCCAGUUGGUUUCUCCUCAUUUAUUAGAGCAAUUAAUGAGAACAAGGACAUUAAGGAAUUUUAGAUCUCUGUUCCACAGAGGUAUAUUGCACCAAUUACUUAAGUAUGAGAUAAACUUAAACUUUUGGCUCAAAGGAUGGGUGAAUAUUCAGAUCCACCUAAGUGGGAUACUAUUUCAUGAAGAAAUUGAGGUAGAAAGGGGAAAGUAUGGUAGUUCUAUAUCCCAGCAAUCCCACUCUUGGGCAUAUAUCCUGACAAAACUUUCAUUGAAAAAGAUACAUGCACCCCUGUGUUCAUUGCACUCUAUUCACAAUUGCCAAGACACGAAAACAAACUAAAUGUCUAUCAGCAAAUAAAUGGAUUAAGAAGAUGUGGUGUAUAUACACAAUGGAAUACUACUCAGCCAUAAAAAACCAAAAUAAUACCAUUCUCAGCAACAUGGAUGGAACUAGAGACUCUCAUACUAAGUGAAGUCAGAAAGAGAAAAACAAAUACCAUAUGAUAUCACUCAUAUCUGGAAUCUAAUAUAAGGCACAAAUAACGUUUCUACAGAAAAGAAACUUAUGGACUUGGAGAACAGACUUGUGGUUGCUGAGGGGAAGGGAGUGGGAUGGACUGGGAGUUCGGGGUUAGUAGAUGCAAACUAUUGCCUUUGGAGUGAAUAAGCAAUGAGAUCUGCUAUAUAGCACAGGGAACUAUAUCUAGUUACUUGUGAUGAAACACAAUGGAAGAUAUGUGAGAAAAAAAGCAUAUUCGUGCAUGUGUGUGACUGGGUCAUUUUGCUGUAUAGCAGAAAUUGACAGAAUAUUGUAACUCAACUAUAAUAGAAAAAUAAAAAUCUUAUAACAAUAAAAUAAAAAAGAAAGGGGAAAAUAGUAAGAGCUUGGAAAUACUGAUGUACACAAAAUAGGAGAAUUCCUAGAACAUUUUAAAUAAAAAGUCUGUAUUAAAUUACUGAGUUAAAACCUUAUUCAUGCUACUCUGAUUAGGGUAACCUUAGGUAUAGCACUCCUCAGAGAACUUUAACAAAAUCAUAGUGGUGGGAUUGUUAACUAGAAAUCAUCAUUAUUCAUUUCUGAGUUUUGCAAAUCAGUCUGGGCCAUGAACAGUUGGGCAGGGCUCUGAACAGUGCUGCCCGCUUAGAACAGUGCUUAGCAAGUAGUGUGUUCAGCAUAUAUUUAUUGAACAAAUGGCGAAUCAAUGAAUGAAUACUGGAUUGGUCUUGGAAGUGUUGGAUCAAUUGUAAGAUUUCAUUUGGAGUGUGCAGAAUUAUACUGGAUAGUGAGGUUCACUUACAGGCCUCAGCAGUAAGACAAACUUGUCAUUUUAAAGCAUGGGAAUGAAAGUGGGGGACAGUACUAAAUAAUAAACUAAAAUUGGAUGUCCAAGACACUGGGGCCAGGAGUGAAGCCAACUUCUGGGGAAAAAUAAGACUGUAGGCACCACGACGGUGAGGACCACAUCAAGGGGCCACACUGUUGUACUUCUACCAGGGCACAAUGCCAGAUACAUAAUGGCAGCUCAGAAAUUAGAUUUGUUAAAUGGAUGAAUAAUGAGCUCUAACCCAAAAGGGCAGGCAUGCACAUAAAAGUGUAUGAAUGUGCGGAUAUUUUCUCAGAAGGAUCAGUCACAAGGCAGCAAGGAGCAAUUGUAUAUGCCUAAUGAGUAAUUGUUGAUCCAGCUGUUUUCAUAGGUUUAGUCACAUAACAGAUUUCACCCUGGGGUAUCUCAAAUGGUCUACAUAUCUUCUCAACAGAUUUCACCCUGGGGUAUCUCAAAUGGUCUACAUAUCUUCUCACAGAACCUGUCCAAAUUGGUUCUGGUUACUUGGGGAAUAUUGAUAUAUCUCAAAAGCAGAAAUAGUGCAUGGUCAAUUUAAGACAGUUCUUCCUGGUAAAAGUCCAAGAUUUAAGAAGGAAUGGUACAAGAAAUAAAUGGUUUUCCCCUUUUUAUUUUCUCUUAUCUCUAUAGCAUCGAACAAUAUGUUCAGGGGAUAAUACAAAUUGGUAUUACUUUCACUUUAUUAAUUGGUCUUAGCAAAAGUCUAUUUGGUCAGUAUUACACCAUACAUUUUAGUUGGGGAAAUUAUAAUUUAUUAAGUCAAUGCUCUUCAAACUUCAUAUGCUUGAGAAUCAGAAAAUCUUGAAAUACAGAUUCUGGUUCAGCAGACUGUUGGUAAGUCCUGGGAAUAUACAAGCUUCCAGGUGGUGCUGUGCAGGUGGUCUACCUACCUCCCUUUAAGUAACAAAUAAUUAAGAAAUGCACUCAAGGUCACAAAGCUAAAAAUGGUGGGACCAAGAUUUUUUUUUUUUUUUUUUGUCUUUUUGUUGUUGUUGCUAUUUCUUGGGCCGCUCCCGCGGCAUAUGGAGGUUCCCAGGCUAGGGGUUGAAUCGGAGCUGUAGCCACCGGCCUACGCCAGAGCCACAGCAACGCGGGAUCCGAGCUGCGUCUGCAACCUACACCACAGCUCAUGGCAACGCCGGAUCGUCAACCCACUGAGCAAGGGCAGGGACCGAACCCGCAACCUCAUGGUUCCUAGUCGGAUUCGUUAACCACUGUGCCACGACGGGAACUCCCCAAGAUUUCAACUACGCUCUUCUUACUAUAAAUCUGAGACCAGAGAGAAUGGAGUUAGUAUUCUCUUCUCCUUAAAGACAGAGAACAAAGAUUAGUGAGAAUCCACCACUUUCUUGACAAUGUUUAACACUCUGUAGGUAGGACAGCGAAUCCUAAUUAUUUUGAUAAUAAUCAGAAGACUGUAGUAGGAAACCUACUCUUGUCUCCUUGAGAUAGUUUAUAGUAAAACUCCUCCUGAAUUUCACUUUCUGUUAUCAAUGAACCUGCUCUUGCUGAAGUUGUCAAUGAUAUCCUUGUUUAUAAAAAUAUUGGACAUUUUAAAAAACUUGACAUCUCUGGAUUAUUUGGCACUAAGGACCAUUCCUUUCUCUUCUCCCUUUCUGUCUGUCUUAGUGCUUCAUUUGUGUUCCAUCUCUCUAGCUCCUGCCUCCUCGUUUCCUAUGUAGGCACCUUCUCUUCUGCUCCUUCCUGAUGCUUGUGUCUCCUGAAUAUUGAUUCAUAGACCCAGCCCCAUCUCAUUUUGCCCUCUAUCCCUAUGAAAUCAAUGUUUAACCCUCCUAGGGAACUCAACUUGUACCUGAGGUUAUGUCGUUAGCUUAGGUCUCUGUACUCCACAUGUCAUAUUCAAGUACUUACUAAAUAUCUCUGCCUUUAUAACUCAGACACCUCAAAUUCAAAAACCAAACUGAAUUAACUCAUUAUCUUUCCUUAAAUUACUUUUUCCAUUGGGUCAUACAUUUGGUGAAUCUAUCCUGGUUUUGAUUUGGUAAACUUGUUGCCCAAAUCACAAUCCCAAGUCAUCCUCUUCACUUCCCUUUUUCUUCCCACAUUUAAUCUAUCUAAUUUUAUAGAUUAACCCUCCUAAAUCAUUCAAAAUAACUCUCAUCUCUCCUCCCUCACUGCCUCUGCCUUAUUUCAGAUUCCCAAUAUUUCUGUCUUUGAUCACUACGAAAUCCUUCUAACUUCCUGCCGUAAUUACUCUAGUCAAUUUCCUAUCAAUAACUAUUCUAAAAUUAUAAUAUAUUUGUGUCACUCUCUUGCUUAAGUGACUCCCCUUUGUUUUCAGUGAAGUUUGUAAAUUGCCAAAGUUACAUAAAAGAUCCAGAAUUCCCUUUUCUACUUUCCCUGCAUCAUGGUCCAUUAUUGAUCUCCUUUUUAUGAACAAGGUAUAAGUGUCCUGGCUUGCUUUUACUUUCUCCAUAUGGCAUGCUUUGUCACAGAUCUAUGCCUUUCUACUAUCCAUCUUUUCAGAGCCCCUAGAACACUCAAUGGGCAUUUGCCAAGCUAACUUCAACAUUUCCUCUAAGAUAUUACCUCUUUAAGGAAAGCUUCCCUAAUUUUUUCAGGCUAGGUAUCUACCUCUUAUACGAACUGACAUAGAACCUGUGUUUAUAUUUUAGCACUGGCAACAUGGUAUUAUUUAUUUAUCUGAAUCCUUUUAGAUUAUCAGCAGUUUGAGGACAGCAAAUGUGUCUUGACUUCUGAAGUACCAGCACCAUGGACAGUGCCUAGGAAAACCUGGAAAUUCAAUUAGCUUUUGCCAAUGAGUCAUGUUAGGGAAGGGCUAUUUUGUUGAUGAAUUAGUCAAGGGUUUCCUUUCAAUGUCCCUGCCAUUUUAUAUGAAGCAUACCUCAUUAAUUCAUAUAUUGGAUUUAAUUUCUUUGAGCAGUACAUAACCAGACACAUCCUGUGAAGAACAUUCUAUAGUUAAGGAUCUUCUUCCUAGCGAAUAUCAUUUUAUCACUUACCAAGAGGUCUAAUUAUCAUGCUGACAAGUAGAUUAGACUGGGUCACUUGCCCUCUUUGUGUUCACCCAGUAGCACAGUGUUGGUAAAGGGAGUGAAUGGAUCUCAGAUAGUUGCUUUAAUGCCUUUCUUUUUAACUUUAUAUUGAGAUGGCAUGAUUAUCUACUCAUAAGAGAAAGACAAAAUGAAAUACCUUAAAUGGAGACAUAAAUGGAGGUGGUAUUCCUGUGAAUUGGGCUUAUUCUUAUUUUCCAGAAUCUUUUUGGUUAAUGCAUUUUAAAAUUUUUGUAACAUAAGCAAAAUAACUCGAAUUAUAAAAUUAACACCUGAUUAUUUUAAAAUAUUCAAGCAAUAUAAAACAUUCAUCAGAGCAUAACACAAAUUACAUGUAAUCCUGUGAUAGUGUUAAAAUUUUGAUGUAUAUCUUUCCAAAACAAAUGAUAUCACAUUAUAUAUCCUGCUAUGUAAUUUUCUUUUUUGAAAUUAAUUAUAUCAUUCAUUUAUUUUGUAACAUGUAUCCAAACAUGUCAAAAUCAAAAUUAUUGUCAUGAAAUUAUGUUUUAUUUCUAUCCAAGAGAUUUUAAAAUGCAUAGUGGUAAAUAGAAUACUAAUUACUAUAAUGUAUGUUAUUUUAAGGGGCCAUCAAAAUUUGGAAAUGAGUUAACUUUGUUUUUAUAUUUUUAGAUUAAAAUGUUUUAAUUAUGUGGUGAAUUUUAUAUAAAAUAAAUCUGUUGUCCAAUAUGCUAGCCAUUUGCCACAUGUAGCUCCUUAAAUUUAAAUUAAUUAAAAUGAUAUAAAAUUAAUAAUUCAAUUCUGCUGUUGCACUAGCCACAUUUAAAGUGUCAAUAGCUACAUAUUGCUAAUGGCUACAGCAGUAGACAGCACAGACAUAAAAUAUUUCUGUCAUUACAGAAAUUUUGGGGAGUGUUUGUAUAGAGUUCUAAUACCUGUGUCACAAUUUAAACUUAACAUACAAUUUGCUGGGCACCAUGUACGUAUCAGAUAUUAUAUGAGGCACUUUUCACUUUUCCUAUAUAUUAUUUUAUGUAAUACCAAAGGGAAUAAAAAAAAAAAAAAGCUGUGGGUAAGAUAGUGUUAUACCAGCUUUUUGGUU